CUGACUCUUACAUUACAAAUGUAUUUCAAGUGUGUUUAUUUAAAGGUGUAUUCGACCUAAAUUCAUAUUUGAAAAUAUGGACAAUUACACCAUUUUGUGUAUGUUAACAUGGAAAGAACACGUUUAUAUCUAUAAACAAUACACUGUAUCUAAUGUUUUAAGAAAGUACACACCUAAUGUAUAUCUACAUGUAACUGGCUUUCCAUUAAAAAACGGGAAGGUUUUUUUUUAACAAUCUUUUGUUACACAUGACAUUUAAUUGUGACCGUACCUUUACAAACACAGUUUAUAUUAUUUGUCAACUAAAUUCAUUGGAUGAGAAUUGUACAUUAUAUAUAUAAAAAAAAAUAGUUGAGUCAAAGAUGCGCAUUUGUAUAUAUUUAAUAAUUUUUUUACAGUUUACUGUUAUGACUAUAUGGGGCGGCCGGUAUACCCAGGUCAGAGCUACUAUGAUGGAUGCAACACGUGUACUUGUGGACGAUACGGCAGGCCUACCGUCUGCACAAUGAGAUACUGCGGAGACAUUAUCGAUCCAAUAAGACCCAUCUACCCCGUCAACCCAGUGAAACCCGUUUAUCCAAUCCGUCCAGUGAAGCCAGUAAAGCCAGUCUAUCCCGUCGCCUACUAGAAGCUUGCCGGAAACAGCCAUCACUCAGAAAAA